GCUCCUCGUGCUGUUGCCUGAGGUCUGGGAUUUCCUGAGACUAUCAUAUCUGUAAAAUUAGGUGGUAUGCUGUAGUCAUAUCUGUAAUAUUAGGUGGUAUGCUGUAGUCAUAUCUGUAAUAUUAGGUGAUAUGCAGUAGUCAUAGGUGUAAUAUUAGGUGGUAUGCAGUAGUCAUAGGUGUAAAAUUAGGUGGUAUGCUGUAGUCAUAUCUGUAAUAUUAGGUGGUAUGCUGUAGUCAUAUCUGUAAUAUUAGGUGGUAUGCAGUAGUCAUAGGUGUAAUAUUAGGUGGUAUGCAGUAGUCAUAGGUGUAAUAUUAGGUGGUAUGCAGUAGUCAUAGGUGUAAUAUUAGGUGGUAUGCAGUAGUCAUAGGUGUAAUAUUAGGUGGUAUGCAGUAGUCAUAGGUGUAAUAUUAGGUGGUAUGCAGUAGUCAUAGGUGUAAUAUUAGGUGGUAUGCAGUAGUCAUAUCUGUAAUAUUAGGUGGUAUGCAGUAGUCAUAGGUAUAAUAUUAGGUGGUAUGCUGUAGUCAUAUCUGUAAUAUUAGGUGGUAUGCAG